rnacentral:rRNA from 1 species
GUGAACGCUGGCGGUAGGCCUAACACAUGCAAGUCGAACGGCAGCACAGUAAGAGCUUGCUCUUACGGGUGGCGAGUGGCGGACGGGUGAGGAAUACAUCGGAAUCUACUUUUUCGUGGGGGAUAACGUAGGGAAACUUACGCUAAUACCGCAUACGACCUACGGGUGAAAGCAGGGGAUCUUCGGACCUUGCGCGAUUGAAUGAGCCGAUGUCGGAUUAGCUAGUUGGCGGGGUAAAGGCCCACCAAGGCGACGAUCCGUAGCUGGUCUGAGAGGAUGAUCAGCCACACUGGAACUGAGACACGGUCCAGACUCCUACGGGAGGCAGCAGUGGAGAAUAUUGGACAAUGGGCGCAAGCCUGAUCCAGCCAUACCGCGUGGGUGAAGAAGGCCUUCGGGUUGUAAAGCCCUUUUGUUGGGAAAGAAAAGCAGCAGGUUAAUACCCCGCUGUUCUGACGGUACCCAAAGAAUAAGCACCGGCUAACUUCGUG